rnacentral:rRNA from 1 species
UACGAAGGGGGCUAGCGUUGCUCGGAAUCACUGGGCGUAAAGGGCGCGUAGGCGGCGUUUUAAGUCGGGGGUGAAAGCCUGUGGCUACAACCCGACAGAAUGGCCUUCGAUACUGGGACGCUUGAGUAUGGUAGAGGUUGGUGGAACUGCGAGUGUAGAGGUGAAAUUCGUAGAUAUUGGGAAGAACACCGGUGGCGAAGGCGGCUCUCUGGACCGUAACUGGACGCUGAGGCGCGAAAGCGUGGGGAGCAAACAGGG